UACGUAGGUGGCGAGCGUUGUCCGGAAUAACUGGGUGUAAAGGGCGAGUAGGUGGGGCGACAAGUCAGAUGUGAAAUUUAGGGGCUCAACUUCUAAGCUGCAUCUGAAACUAGAGUUCUUGAGUACUGGAGAGGGGAGCGGAAUUCCUAGUGUAGCGGUGAAAUGCGUAGAUAUUAGGAGGAACACCAGUGGCGAAGGCGGCUUUCUGGACAGUAACUGACACUGAGGCGCGAGAGCGUGGGGAGCGAAC
rnacentral:rRNA from 1 species